rnacentral:rRNA from 1 species
ACAGAGGGGGCAAGCGUUAUUCGGAAUUAUUGGGCGUAAAGGGUGCGUAGGCGGUUUUUUAAGUCAGAUGUGUAAUCCCCGAGCUCAACUUGGGAACUGCAUCUGAAACUGGAAGACUAGAGUGCUGGAGAGGAUGGUGGAAUUCCACGUGUAGCGGUGAAAUGCGUAGAGAUGUGGAGGAACACCAGUGGCGAAGGCGGCCAUCUGGACAGUAACUGACGCUGAAGCACGAAAGUGUGGGUAGCAAACAGG